UACAGAGGGGGUAAGCGUUAUUCGGAAUUAUUGGGCGUAAAGGGCGCGUAGGCGGCUUGGCAAGUGGAUGGUGAAAUCCCUCGGCUUAACCGAGGAACUGCCGUCCAAACUGCUUCGCUUGAGACCGGGAGAGGUGAGUGGAAUUCCCAGUGUAGCGGUGAAAUGCGUAGAUAUUGGGAGGAACACCAGUGGCGAAGGCGGCUCACUGGACCGGUACUGACGCUGAGACGCGAAAGCGUGGGGAGCAAACAGG
rnacentral:rRNA from 1 species